rnacentral:rRNA from 1 species
AUUAAUAAUUAAUAUAUUUAAUAAAAAUAAUUUUAAUUUAAUAAAUAUUUUAAUGGGGGUUAAAGUAUUUUUUAAAGAAAAAAUUUUUAAAUUUAUAGUUAAUUAGUAUUGUGAAAGAAUUUUGAAAUAUUAUGAAAAAUAAAAUUUUUAGAAAGUAAUUUUUAUUUAUUGUAUCUUGUGUAUCAGAGUUUAUUAAAAAUUUUUAAUUCAUAAAUUAAUUUCUCGAAUUUAAAAGAGUUAAAUAAUUAUUAAAGUUAUUGUAGCAAAAUUAUUUUAAAUAAUUAUUUAGAAAUGAAAUGUUAAUCGUUUUUAAAUAUAUCUAGUUUUUAUAGAAAAAAAUUUAAUUUUAAAUUUAAAAAUUAUUUAAUUAAUUUAUUAAUUAAAUAAUUAUUUUAAUUUUAUAAUUUAAGGGAUAAGCUUUAAAUUAAAAUUUUAUAAUAUUAAAUUUUUAUUUUGAAAAUUUUAUAAUUUAUAUUGUUAAUAAAUUUUAUUUUGUUAUAAAUAAUUUCAUUUUUUUAAAAUUUAAAUUUUAUUUAAUUUUUUAUAUAAAAUUUAUUUAUAAUUAUAUAAAGUUAAUUAUAAUGAUAAAAUUAGUAUAUUAUUUAAUAUUAAAUUAAAAUUAAUUUUUGAUUAAUAAUUAAAUUAAUUAAAAGGAAUUCGGCAAAUAUUUAUUUUCACUUGUUUAUCAAAAACAUGUCUUUUUGUUAUUUAAUUUAAAGUCUAAUCUGCCCACUGAUUUAUAAAAAUUGAAGGGCUGCAGUAUAUUGACUGUACAAAGGUAGCAUAAUCAUUAGUCUCUUAAUUGGUGACUUGUAUGAAAGAUUGGAUGAAAAAUAUACUGUCUCUUAAUUAAUAUAUAGAAUUUAAUUUUUUAUUUAAAAAGUUAAAAUAAUUUAAAAAGACGAGAAGACCCUAUAGAGUUUAAUAAAUUAUUUUAUGAAAGUUUUAUUUAUAAUUACUAAUAAUUUUAUAAAUUUAUUUAUUUUGUUGGGGUGAUAAAAAAAUAAAUUUAACUUUUUUUAAGUAAUUUACAUGAAUAAGUGAUUAAU